GUGACAGGGGGCAAACGGCACUUUGACAACGGACAGAGGAACGGACAGCGGGACGGACAGCGACGCAGGCAAGUGGCAAAGUCAACAAAUGUGUGCAACGGACACACAAUUUUUACCCAAUGCACAAACAUGGGGCACGGCCCGCGGCCAAAUGGCUUCUCUUUCGCUCUCCCUCUCUCUCUCUCUCUCUCUCUCUGCUGGUCUUUGCCCCUGCAACAAUUUUUCACUUACUGGUCGGUGCCUGGUCGGGCAACGUCUUUGCCAGUUUUUCGUAAUUUUUCAUUGGAAAUAUCGCGCUACGCACUUGAUUGCAGCAUUUAAUUAAAGCAGCAGCGAAGGCAAGAGGUUCCACACAGCAACAGCAACAGCAACAGCAACGGCAGAGGCAGCAACAUCCUGGGGCAACAACAGAGCAUAAUAAAAGUUGAAGAAAGGCUGCGAAAAGCGGCUCGAAACUAGUAAUACACUUGCGCACAUUUAUUUUAUGUUUCAUUUUGCAGCAAGGGAAGCUAAAAAAUGUUUUUUGCACCCAAAAAGUUAAUCUCUG
rnacentral:lncRNA from 1 species